CUCGCGGGCGCUGCUUCUAAACUCGCGGAGACUGGAGCCGAGAAAAGGCGGGUAAAAUUCCUUUUGAUAAGUUAUGAAUGAGGAGAAAGUGUUUGUAGUACUCAUUGUUAAAACCACCGAGCCUGGGACUUGGCCCGCGCCCGGCCAAUGCAGGCCCGGAGGCUAUUUUGAAAUCGCUCCGGUUUUAGCCAAUAGGCGUGCGGGAAGAGAAGCCCCGCGUCGGCUCCGGCCAAUGAGCGCGGCGUUAUGCUAAGAAGCCGGGGGCCGGGCCCCGCCGACUGUCAGCGGGUUAAAGAUGGAGCCGGUGAGCAAGAGGGCGCCACGAGGUGCGGGGUCGUUCUGAUGGGUACGAGGGGAGCGAACAACCGCUAAGACCUUUUUCCUGCUAACCUUCCGCGUCCUGUCCUGGCCUGGUUCGAAAGGGAGGUGUGCUGCCCUGAGACUGCAGAAGGGACCAAGAGAUGCCUGGCAUGCCCAUCCUAAUAGCUACAAUUAAAGGGACUGUCAAAGAGCCAGGCCCCAGGCAUGCUUGCAGGGCCGGCUGCACCAUCAGGACCUGACACAAUGCAAAAGGC